rnacentral:rRNA from 1 species
CUGGCGGCGUGCCUAAUACAUGCAAGUCGAACGGUCUUUCUAUGGAAGCUUGCUCCACUGAGAAGAUAGUGGCGAACGGGUGAGUAACACGUGGGUAACCUGCCCAUAAGAGGGGGAGUAACGAUCCGGAAACGGGUGCUAAUACCGCAUAGUUUUCUUGAUCGCAUGAUCGGGAAAGGAAAGACGGCCUUUGUGCUGUCGCUUAUGGAUGGACCCGCGGCGUAUUAGUUAGUUGGUGAGGUAACGGCUCACCAAGACGAUGAUACGUAGCCGACCUGAGAGGGUGAUCGGCCACAUUGGGACUGAGACACGGCCCAAACUCCUACGGGAGGCAGCAGUAGGGAAUCUUCCGCAAUGGACGAAAGUCUGACGGAGCAACGCCGCGUGAGUGAAAGAAGGUUUUUCGGAUCGUAAAACUCUGUUGUCAGAGAAGAACAAGUUGGAGAGUAACUGCUCCAGCCUUGACGGUAUCUGACCAGAAAGCCACGGCUAACUACGUGCCAGCCGCCGC